UACGGAGGGUGCGAGCGUUGUCCGGAAUCACUGGGCGUAAAGGGCGCGUAGGCGGCAGGCCAAGCGUGCGGUGAAAGUCCGGGGCUCAACCCCGGAUCUGCCGUGCGGACUGGUUUGCUAGAGCACUGUAGAGGCGAGUGGAAUUCCGGGUGUAGCGGUGGAAUGCGUAGAGAUCCGGAAGAACACCGGUGGCGAAGGCGGCUCGCUGGGCAGUGGCUGACGCUGAGGCGCGACAGCAUGGGGAGCAAACAGG
rnacentral:rRNA from 1 species